GACCUGUUAGUCAAGCGGUUAAGACGCUACUUUCUCUAAGUAGAAUCAGGAGUUCGAGUCUCUUACAGGUUACCA
rnacentral:tRNA from 1 species